CCAAUGGGAAUCAAAGUCACUCGGAUAGCUCAUGGUCUUCCUGUUGGAGGCGAUUUAGAGUAUGCAGAUGAGGUCACAAUAUCAAAAGCACUAGAAGGCAGAAGAGAAAUAUAAAAAUCGAGGUUAAUACCUCGAUUUUUGUAGUUUUUUGAGUUAAAUUCAAAUUAAUUUUGAUUUAGAUUUAUUGAAUAAAUUUCUUCUGUAUUGUAUAAUUUGUUGUAUAAAUCAUUUAAAAAUUUUGAUAGGGGUGCAACAUGAAACCAAUUAUGAACUUAGAAGAACAUAAUGCAAUGAAAGAAAAAAGAGUUAAAAAAAUGAAAUCAAAAGAUAAACCUAAAUAUGAUGAUUUUGAGGAUAUAAGUUUUUCUAAUAAGAAAAAAACUAAAAAAAAUGUACGAAAUAAAAAUGCUGAAUUUAGAAAUAAUUAUAAAAAUUAUCAGUAUGAUUAUGAAGAAGACUUUUAUGAGCCAAUUUAAUAUUAAAUAAUUAGAAAAUAAAAAAUCCCUAAUAGAUAAUAUAUAUACUAUAGGGAUUUUAUUUAUUUUAUCAACCAGAAAUUAUAUUUAAAAUUAAAUUAGCUAUAUUUUGGGCUGAAUUUGACUUUCUUAUUGAUUUAAUAUUUCUUUUUAGCAUUUCUAAUCUGCUAGGGUCAUCUAUUAAAACUUUUAGUAAUAUUGACAAGUUAUAUUUUUUUGUAGUUCUAAGUGCUGCACCACAAUUAGAUAAGAAAUCAAGAUUCUCUUCUUCCUGACCUGGUAUAUAAUAAGGAACUAUCAUAGGUACAUCUUUUAAAAGAGCCUCAGUUGUAGUAAGUCCACCAGGUUUGCUUACUAAUACAUCUAUAGAAGCUAAAAUAUCAUUCAUCUUAUCAGUGUAUCCAAGGACACAUACAUUUUUAUCAUGAUAACGAGACAUAAGUUUUUUUUCGAUUUUUUCUUUUAGGCUUUCAUUCUUACCAGUAAUUACAAGUAUUUGAAAGUCUCUAUCAGUAUCCAGUAAUUCAUCAAGUGUCUCUUUUAUAUUUCCAGCCCCAAAGCUACCCCCCAUAAGUAAAACAGUUAAUUUAUCAGGAGAUAAAUUCAACUCAGAAAGAACAAUAUCUUUAUCUCUGUGAGAGAGAAAAGAUUUUUCAACAGGGAUUCCAAAUGUUCUAAUUUUACUCGGUUCAACUCCAUCAAACACCAAUAAUUCUUUUACAUAUUCAUGACCAACAAUAUAGUAAUCAAUUUCAUUUUGUAUCCAUGUAGAAUGAGUAGUAUAAUCGGUUAAUACAGAAAUAAGCGGAGGAACAUUAAUGGUAUUUGUAUAAUGUUUAUAAAAAUGCUCUGUGUAAGCAUUUGAUUCAUUAUUAUGUAAAUUAAAGUUUUUUUUCAAUGUACUUAGAGCAAUCAUUGGAAAAGGAUGCGUUCCUAUAAUCAAGUCUGGUUUUUCGCUUCUAAUAAGCUUUUUAAAUUUUUUAGCCAUGAAUGUUAUUAGUAGAUUAUCUUUAAAUUCAUUUUUUGACAAAAGAUUUGUUUCAGAUAAUCUAUAUACACUUCCAUAGGCUUUGGGAGUAUAUAUAGCAGAUUUUUCGUAUCCUCUUGAAAUUAUUUUAUCCAUUGUAUUAUUAACUAAUUUCAAACUAUCUAUUAUUUCACAUUCAAUUGGCUCUCCAUCAAGUGUUUUGGAAGUAAGUUCUUCUUUAAUAGCUAGAGCAGCCCUAUUAUGCCCACCACCAGUGGAAGCAGACAUUAUUAAUACUUUUUUGCUCAUAAUAAAAUCCUCCUAAAAUGUAGCAUAGUAUUUAUAUUAUAUUUUGAUAUAUAAAAACUGUCUUUGUGAAUAAGGUUAUUGAUAAAUUAUUUUUAAUAUUAAUCUAAUACAAGAUUGCAAAAAUUACAAGUGAAAGAAAUGUAAAUUAAUUUU
rnacentral:rRNA from 1 species